UACAACCACAACUGAACCCGAUACAACCGUCACAGAACCAGAUACAACCACAACUGAACCCGAUACAACCAUCACGGAACCAGAUACAACUACAACUGAACCUGAUACAACCACAACGGAACCCGAUACAGCCACAAUUGAAUCUGAACUUCCUGCAGUGCGCCAUCGCAAGGUUCGUCUUCAGCUAAUGGUUGAACAGAGAGUGAACUUUGACUAGGAAGAACGAGCAUCGCUGCAAGUCAUCACUUUUGUGCAUCUUGCUAUCCAAAGGCCUCGCGUAUUUCAGCCUAUGCUUUGACCCGUUUCCUGAAAUCGCGCCAGCCAAGAGUUCUAUAGGAAGCUCCGAACAGCUGCAAAUUCCUAACGGACAUUUUUUUUAGGGUCGUAUUCGUUUUUGUGGGAAAUAUUAUACGAAUCAUUUCUUACAUAGUUCCCUUCUUAUAGAUUUGGGUGAAUAGUAUUUUGCAAAUAGAACAGUUUUUAUAAGGGAACCUUCGUUAACAAACUGAAGUCGAAAUUGGAAACUGAUGUUUACAGUCACGUUUUCAAAAUUCAUUAUAGUCAUAUAUAUGAUGUUUACAUGAAGUUCGCAUCUAAUUAUUAUCAUGAAAAAAUAUUUUGCAGUAAUUAUAUUUGAUUUUGAAAUCCUAUAAUUUUGCAAAAAUAUUUGUAGUCAUUUGUCAAAGGACAUAAAGGAUAUAACAUCUGAUCAUGAAACAUUCUGAUUCAACUUGAGAAUUUUUCACUUAUUGCUUCAUGAAUAUACUGAAUAUUCUGUUUGUAAACGAAACCUUCAUGUAAGGAAUAUGCAUACUGUUGGAAUGAAAUUGAAAACCGAG